rnacentral:lncRNA from 1 species
GGAAAAGCUUCAAUUGCCAACCUGUAAAGGACCCAACACAUCCAAUUUAUCGUUGUCUUCACCUUCUUCAUCCUUUCCUCGCUCACUGAGAAGCAGAUGCCAAAAAUCCCGCGUUGUCUGCAAAGCUCGUGAAGCUGUAGAUGCAGGUUUGCCAAAUUCUAUCUUAAUAUCUUUUUAUGCAUCUCUUGUUUGCUAGAACAUCAUGGAGAGAACUAUACUUGGAGCGAUAUUUGCUAAUCCUUUUUUAGCAACUGUGUCGCCUGCUUAUUGAAGGAAGUGAACAAAAAUUGAGUUAAAAUUAGAUUGUCCUUGGCCGUGAAUCUCCUUAUGCAAUUGCUAGUGACAGUGUUUCAUGGAAGGGUAUAAUCUUCAAUAAAUCCAACAGAAUUCUCUCUAUUUUUUCACGAGGAUGAAUAUUCUUGAAAUUUGAUCCAUGCAAAUGUUUGAAAUGUGCAGUUCAAGUAGCGACAGAUGCAAGCUGGGAUACUGUGAUUGGAAGCGACACCCCUGUUCUUGUGGAGUUUUGGGCACCAUGGUGCGGACCUUGUAAGAUGAUAGCACCGGUAGUCGAGGAGUUGGCAAAAGAAUAUGCAGGAAAGAUAGCUUGUUACAAAGUCAACACUGAUGACUGCCCUAAUAUUGCCACAAAGUAUGGAAUAAGAAGCAUUCCGACAGUGCUGUUUUUCAAGAAAGGAGAGAAGAAAGAAAGUGUUAUUGGAGCAGUGCCCAAGACCACCUUGUCUAAUUCCAUAGACAAGUAUAUAGAUGCUUGAAAACAACAAACUAUGUGGAGCUAUGAUGGAGCUACAAGUGCAUAGCAAUUCAAACUUUCUUGCAUGGCGUAAAUGUAACUAUGAACUCAGUUCUUGUUCAAAUUGAUAAUGCAAUGUGCAUCACUCUUUCUU